rnacentral:rRNA from 1 species
UUGGAUCCUGGCUCAGGAUGAACGCUAGCUACAGGCUUAACACAUGCAAGUCGAGGGGAAACGAUAGAGAAAGCUUGCUUUUUCUAGGCGUCGACCGGCGCACGGGUGAGUAACGCGUAUCCAACCUGCCCAUCACUUGGGGAUAACCUUGCGAAAGUAAGACUAAUACCCAAUGAUAUCUCUAGAAGACAUCUGAAAGAGAUUAAAGAUUUAUCGGUGAUGGAUGGGGAUGCGUCUGAUUAGCUUGUUGGCGGGGUAACGGCCCACCAAGGCGACGAUCAGUAGGGGUUCUGAGAGGAAGGUCCCCCACAUUGGAACUGAGACACGGUCCAAACUCCUACGGGAGGCAGCAGUGAGGAAUAUUGGUCAAUGGGCGAGAGCCUGAACCAGCCAAGUAGCGUGCAGGAUGACGGCCCUAUGGGUUGUAAACUGCUUUUAUAAGGGAAUAAAGUGGGAGUCGUGACUCCUUUUGCAUGUACCUUAUGAAUAAGGACCGGCUAAUUCCGUGCCAGCAGCCGCGGUAAUACGGAAGGUCCGGGCGUUAUCCGGAUUUAUUGGGUUUAAAGGGAGCGUAGGCCGGAGAUUAAGCGUGUUGUGAAAUGUAGACGCUCAACGUCUGCACUGCAGCGCGAACUGGUUUCCUUGAGUACGCACAAAGUGGGCGGAAUUCGUGGUGUAGCGGUGAAAUGCUUAGAUAUCACGAAGAACUCCGAUUGCGAAGGCAGCUCACUGGAGCGCAACUGACGCUGAAGCUCGAAAGUGCGGGUAUCGAACAGGAUUAGAUACCCUGGUAGUCCGCACGGUAAACGAUGGAUGCCCGCUGUUGGUCUGAAUAGGUCAGCGGCC